GGAUCAUGAGCUGGGGGGAGGGUAAACGAGUGGCGGAAACCCUUAAGCUCAGAGAAGCAUCGAGAACCGGAAGGAGACCAUGGGAGGAAGCCUGAUAUACUAAACGCACAGGAGUAGGCAUGAAGAUGGAGAGAGGAACCCAGAUUUGUUAUUGCUUCCCAUUUGUUUGAUAUUGGCCUGGUUAGUUAUCUUCUGACCCCGUUUCUUCACUGCUAAAAAACAGGGUUUCGCCAUAUUGCCCAGGCUUGUCUUGAACUCCUGGGAUCAAGCAACCUGCCCGCCUCGGCUUCCCAAAGUGCCACAAUUACAGUAUGAGCUACCGCACCCGGCCUCAUAUGAUUUUGAAUAAGGCAUUUGCUUUAUGCUUUACAAGGUACUAGCAGUAAAAACUGUUUAGAGUGAUACACAUAAAGAACAGUUCAGACAUAAAUGUAAGACCUGAAGCUAUAAAACUACUAGAAGAAAACAGGAAAACCAUUUCAGGACAUUGGGUCUAGGCAAAGAUUUUAUGGCUAAGACCUCAAAAGCAUAAACAGCAAAGACAAAAAUAGCCAAAUUGGACUGUAUUAAACUAAAAAGCUCAGCAAAGGAAACAGCACAGUGAAGAGAUAACCUGUUGUAUGGAAGAAAAUAUUUACAAACUAUUAAUCCAACAAGGGACUAAUGUUGAGAGUAUACAAGGAACUUAAAAGUAAAAAAAAAAAACCCCAUUAAAAGUGGGCAAAGGAUGUGAAUAGACAUUUCUCAGAAGACACAAAUGCCCAAUAAGUAUAUGAAAAAUGCUUAAUAUCACUACUCAUCAGAAAGAUGCAAAUGAAAACCACAAUAAGGUAUCACCUAUGACAGAGUGGUUAUUACUAAAAAGACAGAAAAUAACAGAUGCUGGUAAGGAUGCAGAAGAAAUUCUUUUAUACUGUCAGUGGGAUUGUAAAUUAGUACAGCCUCUAUGGAAACACAGUAUUUCUCAAAAAACUAAAAGAACUGCCAUAUGAUCUGUCAGUCCCACUAAUGGGUAUUUAUUCAAAGGAAAAGAAAUCAGUUCAAUGCGGCACUAUUCACAGUAGCAAAGAACAGAAUCAGCUUAAGUGUCCAUCAACAGAUGAAUGGAUAAAGAAAAUGUGUUACCUAUGCACAAUGAAUACUAUUCGGCCACAAAAAAGAAUGAAAUCAUUUCCUCUGCAGAAACGUGGAAGCUAGGAGAGAAGACUUGAAAUGUUCCCAGCACUUAGAAAUGAGAAAUAUUCGAGGUGAUGGAUACCCCAGUCAAGCACCUCUUGACUUGCUACUGGUACCUGGAAGAGAUGUAACACCUGACCAUCGGACAUCAAGUGACUGCGUGAAUCAAACUGCCUGUCAUGAAUUGUUAUUUGAUUCACCAAACUGUACAACUGGAUGAACACAGGAGCAGUGCACUACAUAUGGGACUGGAACCAUGAAUGAGCAGGUGACUCAGACUCCUAUAGUACCUGCCUCUACUCCUUCAGCACUUCUCCCUCAACCCACAUAAACUGUCAUCAUAAGGAGUUCCCUCUGACCAGUUAAUGGAAGAGAAAAAAGUAUGGAUGUUGUGGAUAUCCUAACAUAUCUCUGGCCAUUGGACCCCUAGAAACCUAUGGCAAGUCCUGGAAGUUUUUCAAGGUUCAUCUUGCACCUGUAGCAUGCAUAUGUCUUACCAAAGCAUGUAGAAUGCUGCCUACUUCUGCUCAUCAGUUUCAUUUAAUAUAAUUUCAUUACUCUAAUAAAUCAGUGUAAUGUUCUAUGGAAUAACAAGACCUUCCAGGUCCCUUCAUACCAUAUAGAGAACAGGAGAGUUGAUGUAGCCAGAGACAAGACAGUAAGGACUUACUGUUAUCCUUCCUGUUUAAACGUAGUCUGAUUCUCCUUAUAAUUAGAAUGGGGGUGGGGGGACAUUUCCAGAUCAAUAUCAGAUCAGUAUCAUGUCAACAUGUGUAUUUCUUCCAAAGAAGAUACCACACCUAGAACAGCAACCAUAAUUGGCAUCCCUACCUAAUUAAAGUUUGCAGUCCACUGUCAUUCUUCACUAGCCAUCUGGUUUUUAUACUGUCAUUCUCCAUGAUGCAUCUGGUGGCCACAGGAAAUUUAAAUGGGAAUGUGGUAUGAAUCACUAUGGCAACAUGGUGGCACUAAUCUCUGCAAUUCUUUUGGUUUUUCUAUGUUGCUUUUUUAUGUUUUGUAGAAAUGGAGUCUUGCCAUGUUGUAUAGGCUGGUCUCAAACUCCUGGGGUCAAGCAAUCCUCCUGCCUUGGCCCCCCUAAGUGCUGGGGUUGCAGGCAUGAGCCACUGUGCCUGGCCAAUCUCUGCAAUUUCCUCAGGGAUAUAGUCCUGCUUUUCCUUUACUAUCUUAAUGAGGAGUGGUAGAAAGCAGACCUAAGCUGCUGUGUAGCACUUUCUACCAUAAUAGCAAUCCCUCCAUGGAUCAGGAACCAAAAUAAAGAUUGUUAUUGAAAGAUACAUAUUACUACUACACAUCUGGGACUGGAGAAAUAACCACAGUAUGGGUCCUUCUGGAUCUACUGUUAGCCACAGCCAGGCCAAGAUUCCAUCACUUGACUUCCUUAGGUCCCCUAUUUUGACCACUUGUCGAGGGUAGAGUUUUGGGUUUCUAGUAUAAGUGCAAGUUAAGAGAGUGCCUUAAGAAUUCUAGCCAGCCUGGGCCAGGCAGUGGGUCACGCCUGUAAUCUCAGCACUUUGGGAGGCUGAGGCGGGUGGAUCACGAGGUCAGCAGAUCGAGACCAUCCUGGAUAACAUGGUGAAACCCUGUCUCUACUAAAAAUACAAAAAAAAUUAGCCAGGCAUGGUGGUGGGCGCCUGUAGUCCCAGCUACUUGGGAGGCUGAGGCAGGAGAAUGGCGUGAACCUGGGAGGCAGGGCUUGCAGUGAGCCGAGAUCGUGCCACUGCACUCCAGCCUGGGCGACAGAGCAAGACUCCAUCUCAAAAAAAAAAAAAAAAAAAAAGAAUUCUACCCAGCCUGGCCAACAUGAUGAAACCCCAUCUCUACCAAAAACACAGAAACUAGCUGGGAGUGAUGGUGCACGCCUGUAGUCCCAGCUAUUCAGGAGGUAGAGGUUGCAGUGAGCUGAGAUUGUGCCACUGCACUCCAGCCUGGGUGACAACAGAGCAAGACCUUGUCUCAAAAGAAAAAAACAAAAACAAAAAACAAAAAGAAUUUUGGAUAUUUUCCUUUCUCUAUUGAAUGGUCACUGGUCCCUAUGGAAAAGGCUUAGGGCAAUGAUUCCCCCAACAUGUCUGCUCACUGGAAGUAUCUGGGGAACUUGAAAAAAUACUGAUGCCUGGGUCUUCCCCGAGAUUACUAUUUAAUUAGUCUGGGUUGUGGCCUGGGCUUUAGAAUCCUAAGGUGUUCUAAUGUGCAGACAAGUUUGGGAACCCCACUGGAUUAGGGAACAAUUCGUUGUAUACAGCUGUGAUUGCAUUGCCCCUUUCGUCAAAGGAUCCAGUCUCUUUCCAUCAGUGAAGGAGUACCAAGUGUGGGAGCUAGAUGAGAUGCUUCAAAUUUUAUUACAAAAACACAAUAAUUUUUCCACCUAUAUAUGUCAAGCAGCACCUUGGUAGGUUACUUAAUCUAUUAUAUUUCCAGGGACCUCAUGAUCAUUUAGCCAUUAUCACUUUUCCCUGUGGGUCAAACUACUCUGGUUAAUGUUCUCUCCUUUGACUUAUUUUGGUAAUUGUGCCUACUUUGUCUCUGAUAUUUAUUUAUUUAUAUUUUUAUGUUUUUUGAGACAGAGUCUUGCUCUGUUGCCCAGGCUGAGUGCAGUGGCGUGAUCUCGGCUCACUGCAACCUCCACCUCCCAGGCUCAAGCCAUUCUCUUGCCUCUUGCCUCAGAGCCACUCCUGAGUAGCUGAGACCAUAGGCAUGCACCACCACACCCAGCUAAUUUUUGUAUUUUUACUAGAGAUGGGGUUUCACCACGUUGGCCAGACUGGUCUCGAACUCCUGGCCUCAAGUGAUCUGCCUGUGUUGGCCUCCCAAAGUGCUAUGAUUACAGACAUGAGCCACUGUGUCCGUCUUGUCUCUGAUAUUUAUAUGCCAUUAUGUGGCCUCUACUGCCUUAGGAUUCUAAUGUUCCCACUAAGAUCAGCAAACCCGGUUCCACUACAGUGUUCACCACCAUCAUCUCUCACAAACAAAGACAGCCACUUCAGGGCUCCUUGGAAAUGGUGGUGCUCCCAUCAUCAUAGCAUUCUUUAAUGACAUGGUGAAAAUUAAUAAUGGCUAAGGAGCCUUUGUGUUUUCUCCUCUACAAUAUGCCCAGGAAUUUCUGGCAUUUUGGCCAUCUUAUUUAUAGGCUAUUACUGAAUUUAAGCCUCAUCCUACCAAAUUAUUAAUGCCAAAAUAUUAACUCUUGAUUCUUAGGUACGUGCACCCAUGCCAAUAAAUUUGCCAUGAUCUAACCUUAAAUGUAUUCUCAUAUAUGCUGUCCAAGUUCCCGCUGAUUAAAAUGGCAAGGCCUUUAGUUCUCCUAUGUAGGCUUUCUCUCUCCAGAGAAGGCCUCAUACUUCUCUGACUAGGCUAUGUUGGGAUAUAACUGGAGGCACUAAUAGGUAGUAAGGGUAAAUUCUUUAUUUUAUUAUUAUUUUUUGGAGACAGGGAGGGUCUUGCUUUGUUCAGACUGGAGUGCAGUGGUGUGAUCAUGGCUCAUUGCAACUUUGAACUCCUGGGCUCAAGUGAUCCUCCCACCUCAACCUUCUGAGUAGCUGGGACUACAGGUGCAAACCACCAUGCAUGGCUAAUUAAAAAAAAAUUUUUUUUUUAGAGACAGAGCCUUGCUGUGUUGCCUAGGCUAGUCUUGAACUUCUGGGCUCAAGCAGUCCUCCCACCUCAGCCUCCCAAAGGGCUGGGAUUACAGGCAUGAGCUACCAUGCCUCGCCCCAGCUGGUAAAUUCUGAGGAGAGCAUGUAUCAGCUUGUGAAGGUGCUUGCCCAAGUGCAAUCACUGAAAGCCUCUAUGCAUAGGAGGCUGGUUUCCUCAGAAAGAGAUUUAGGGGAAGAUGGAUGUUCAGAGUUUUCAGCUUCAUUUUUCUCUGCUCAAAUGUCCCUAUCGUAUGUCUUAGGACCCCUCUCCCCACCAGUGUCCCAGCAUUAGAAUAGGAAAGGGGAAGAAUUAAGCAUAUAAUUGAUACUACAAAUCUACCACAUCUGCCCAGUAAUUACAGAAGAUAAUCAACUCCUUCAGACCUGUAAUGGAGUUCUGAUGCUCCACAUACAGUCAUUUUCUUUUUGUUGUUGUUUAUGAUAGUAUCUCACUCUGUCAUCCAGGCUGGAGUGCAAUUGUGCAAUCAAGGCUCACUGCAACCUCCACCUCCCGGGUUCAAGUGAUUCUCAUGCCUCAGCCUCCCAAGUAGCUAGGACUACAGGCAUGCGCCACCACACCCAGCUAAUUUUUGUAUUUUUUCAUAGAGAUGGGGUUUUACCAUGUUAGCCAGGCUGGUCUUGAACUCCUGGCCUCAAGUGAUCCACCCACCUCAGCCUCCCAAAGUGCUGAGAUUACAGGUGUGAGCCACCGCACCUGGUCACCACAUACAGAUUUAAUUGUAGUUUUUAUGUUUUUCUUUUUCUUAUGUAUUUUUCUUUUCUUUUUUUUAGAGAUAGGGUCCCACUCUAUCACCCAGGCUGAAGUGCAGUAGCAAGAUCAUAGUUCACUGCAGCCUCAAACUCCUGGGCUUAGACAACCCUCCUGCCUCAGCCUCCUGAGUUGCUGGGACAACAGGUGUGCACCACCAUGCGAGCUAAUUGAAAAAAAAUUUUUUAGAGAUGGGGUCUUGCAGUGUUGCCCAGGCUGGCCUCAAACUCCUGGCCUCAAGAGAUCCUCCCACCAUAGCCUCCCAAAUAGGGGACUACAGGUAUUAGCCACCAUGCCUUUUAACCCACGUAUGCCUAGUGUUCCAUUAUUGGAACGCUAAGCAUGUGGGAAUUAUUUAUAGCCUACUACUCAAGGUCAUCGGCAAGGUCUGAUUUUUCACUCAUGCAAAAAUUCAAAAAAUUGCAACCUCUGGCAUAAACGGGUUAAAUACUUUCUGUUUCGGACCAUAAGAAAAGCCAGAUGGAUCUAUAAUCUUUAUAAUUACUAUGGUUACCAUGGUGAUACACUCCUCACCUGCUUCACUUGAUUUCAUGUUGUUACUGGUAAUCAUAAUACUACUGCAAACUGGCUGGGCGCAGUGACUCCUUCCUGUAAUCCCAGCACUUUGGGAAGCAAAGGCAGGAGGAUCACUGGAGCUCAGGAGUUCAAGACCAGCCUGGGCAAUAUAGUGAGACUCUGUCUCUACAAAAAAAUAAAAAUAGGCCGGGCAUGGUGGCUCACACCUGUAAUCCUAGCACUUUGGGAGGCCGAGGUGGGUGGAUCACCUGAGGUCAGGAGUUCAAGACCAGCCUUGCCAACGUGGUGAAACUCUGUCUCUACUAAAAAUACAAAAAUUAGCUGGGCGUGGUGGUGGGUGCCUGUUAUCCCCAGUUACUGGGGAGGCUGAGACAGGAGAAUCACAUGAACCUGGGAGGCGGAGGAUGCAGUGAGCCGAGAUCACACCAUUGUACUCAAGCCUGGGUGACAAGAGCGAAACCAUCUCAUAAAUGAAUAAAUAAAUAAAUAAAUAAAUAAUGGCUGGGUAUGGUAGUGCACGCCUAUAGUCCCAGCUAUUUAGGAGGCUGAGGCAGGAGGAUUGCUUGAGCCGAAGAGGUUGAGGCUGCAGUGAGCUAUGGUCCCACCACUGCACUCCAGUCUGGGCAACAGAAUGAGACCUUGUCUCAAAAAAAAACUAAAUACCGUAAGCUGUGGAUUACCUGUAGUCUGUAGUCUCUUUCCUUGUAGCAACGAUGUUAUUCCUCCGAUUGAUUUUAUGUGUGUGUGUGUGUGUGUGUGUGUGUGUGUGUGUGUGUGUAUCCAACCCAAUCUCAAAAUCUUACUUAAGGGCCCAUUUCCUGUAAUACUUCUGUUGCAAAUUACCAUAUCUUUGGAGUCUUAAGAAGAAAUAGAGAACAGAUUAAAAAUAAUUUAAGAAGGCUGGGCAUGGUGGCUCAUGCAUGUAAUCCCAGCACUUUGAGAAGCUGAGCCAAGAGGAUGGCUUGAGCCCAGGAGUUUGAAACUAGCCGGGACAACAUGGCAAAAUCCCAUUUCUACAAAAAAAACUGGCUGGGUGUGGUGGCACACACCUAUAGUCCCAGCUACUUGGGAGGCUAAGGUAGGAGGAUCGCCUGAGCCCAGGAGGUUGAGGCUGCAGUGAGCCCUGGUUGUGCCACUACACUGCAGCUUGGGUGACACAGUGAGACCCCUGUCUCAAAAAAAAAAAAAAAAAAAAAGGAAAAAUACUGGUAAAAUGUAUUACAUUAAUCUGUUUAUCAAGGCACCAUUACAAAAAGACUAACCACAAUGUAAGACAAGAUACUGGCCACACAUAUAUUUGACCAAGAACUCAUAUCCAGAAUAUAUAAAUGAUUCCUAAAAAUCAGUAAGAAAAAGAAUGACAACCCAACAGAAAUAUGGGCAAGUGACUUAAACAGGCACUACAGAAAAGAUCUCCAAAAUGUCUCUGAAGGCCAUUUUUGUCAAAAACAAAAACAUCUCCGAAUGUUAAGUACCAUAAAAUGGUGCUCAACUUCAAUGGUCAUCAAGUAAAAGGUUAAUGUCAAAAUGAGAUACCACUACAUUCCCAUCAGAAUGACCAAAUUAAAAAGAUUGACAAUACCACGUGUUGACCACAGUGUGGAGAAAGUGAAACUUUGACACACUGUUGUGGGGCAGUGACGGGGGACGGGGGACAGGGAUUGGGUAAAGUUUCCAUAAACUUUGCAAAACUGUCAUUCUUUACAAAAUUUGAAAAUACAUCAAUGACUAAGCAACUUUAAUCCUAAGUACCUAAGUAUAUACUCAACAGAAAUGUCUUCACUUGCAUGUGAAGAGACAUACAGAAGAAUGCACCAUAAUUGGUUAAUAGCUUUAAAGUGGAAACAGCCCACUGAAAUAUCAAAAAUAAAAUGGACAAAUAUAUUUUAUCCACUUAAUAGAAUAUAGAAGUGAGUAUGAACAAACUAUAAACACCACAGAUCAUUUUCAGAAAUAUAAUGGUGAAAAUACACAUUACAUAAUUUCAUUCAUGUAAGAUUCAAAACUAGGCAAAAAUUAUGUAUGGUUAGAAAUUAGAAGAGUGGUUACAUUUGGGGAAGAGUGACAGGAUAGUUACUGGGAGCUCUCAUAAGAAGGUUUCUAUUUCCUGGGUGCUGGAUACAGGGACAUUCUUUGUGAUAAAUCACUCAUUUUUGCAUAUAUGCUAUAUUUCAAUUUUUUAAAAGGGUGGUCCUUAAAAGAUUAUGAUUUAGGGUUUACCGCCUUGCCCCUCUCUAUCAAUUCAAAUAUUUCUUCCAGUUCAGAUCCCACACCUUACAUGAAGCCUUUCCCAACCAUUUCAGCCAGAAGCAAUUUCUCUUUCUUCUUGGUUUUUAUACCAUGUUCUCUGGGAGGUAGUGUAAUAUAGUGGAAAUAGUAUAGGCUAAGGAACUUGGACUUUAAUCUGUGUGGCAAUAAAGAGCAGAAGAGUGACUCGGUCAGACUUGUAUCUGCCCACUACAAAUUUAACCAAUUUUACUUAUAUUUCUUUGUGAACAAAUAUGAAAAUUUAUACACAUAUAUUAAAUAUAAAUAUAUAGCUUUUAUACCACGGAAUACUACUCAGCCAUAAAAAGAAAUGAAAUAAUGGCAUUCACAGCAACUUGGAUGGAGUUGGAGACCAUUAUUCUAAGUGAAGUAACUCAGGAAUGGAAAACCAAACAUCAUAUGUUCUCACUUAUAAGUGGGAGCUAAGCUAUGAAGAUGCAAAGGCUUAAGAAUGAUAUAGUGGACUUUGGGAACUUUGUUGGGGGAGGGUGAGGGGGGGUGAGGGAUAAAAGACUACACAUUGGCUACAGUGUACAUUGCUCAGGUGACAGGUGCACCAGAAUCUCCGAAAUCAUCACUAAAGAACUUAUCCAUGUAACCAAAACCCACCUGUUCCCCACAAACUAUUGAAAUAAAAAUUUAAAAAUACAUAAAA